GUAAUACUCCCUCCGUCCGGAAAUACUUGUCAUCAGAAUGGAUAAAAAGAAAUGUAUCUAGAUGUAGUUCUAGAUACGUCACUUUUUACAUCUAGAUACAUUUCUUUUUGUUCAUUUUGAUGACAAGUAUUUUCGGAUGAAGGGAGUAGUUG
rfam:Triticum urartu cultivar G1812 contig962684, whole genome shotgun sequence.